rnacentral:rRNA from 1 species
UACGUAGGUGGCAAGCGUUGUCCGGAAUUAUUGGGCGUAAAGCGCGCGCAGGUGGUUUAAUAAGUCUGAUGUGAAAGCCCACGGCUCAACCGUGGAGGGUCAUUGGAAACUGUUAAACUUGAGUGCAGGAGAGAAAAGUGGAAUUCCUAGUGUAGCGGUGAAAUGCGUAGAGAUUAGGAGGAACACCAGUGGCGAAGGCGGCUUUUUGGCCUGUAACUGACACUGAGGCGCGAAAGCGUGGGGAGCAAACAGGAUUAGAUA